rnacentral:rRNA from 1 species
AUUGAACGCUGGCGGAAUGCUUUACACAUGCAAGUCAAACGGUAGAGGGGGCAACCCCUCGAGAGUGGCGAACGGGUGAGUAAUAUAUCGGAACGUGCCCAGUCGUGGGGGAUAACGUAGCGAAAGUUACGCUAAUACCGCAUACGAUCUAAGGAUGAAAGCGGGGGAUCGCAAGACCUCGCGCGAUUGGAGCGGCCGAUAUCAGAUUAGGUAGUGGGUGGGGUAAGGGCCCACCAAGCCAACGAUCUGUAGCUGGUCUGAGAGGAGGACCAGCCACACGGGAGCUGGGAGAAGGUCGAGAUACCUGCGGGAGGCAGCAGUGGGGAAUUUUGGACAAGGGACGCAAGUCUGCUCCAGCCAUUCCGCGUGAAGGAUGAAGGCCCUCGGGUUGUAAACUGCUUUUGUACGGAACGAAAAGGUCUCGCUUAAUACGGGGGACUCAUGACGGUACCGUAAGAAUAAGCACCGGCUAACUACGUGCCAGCCGCCGCCGUAACAC